rnacentral:rRNA from 1 species
AGAGUUUGAUCAUGGCUCAGGACGAACGCUGGCGGCGUGCUUAACACAUGCAAGUCGUGGGCACCAGCAAUGGUGACCGGCGAACGGGUGCGUAACACGUGAGCGACCUACCGAUUCGUGGGGGAUAGCCGGCCCAACGGCCGGGUAAUACCGCAUACGUCGAGCGAGCCGCAUGGCUUGCUCGGGAAACCUCCGGGGCG